GUUCCGGUGGCCUAGUGUUUAGAGCGUCCGCCUCGGAUGCUGGAGAUCGUGGGUUCGAACAGCUACCUCGCUUGGCGCU